UUACGACCAUAUCAUGUUGAAACAUUGAUUCUCAUACGACCACCAAAGUUAAGCAACAUUGAGUCUGGUCAGUACCGAGAUGGGUGAUCGCUUGGGAAUACUUAGUACUGUAA